rnacentral:rRNA from 1 species
GACGAACGCUGGCGGCGUGCUUAACACAUGCAAGUCGAACGGAAAGGCCCUGCUUUUGUGGGGUGCUCGAGUGGCGAACGGGUGAGUAACACGUGAGUAACCUGCCCUUGACUUUGGGAUAACUUCAGGAAACUGGGGCUAAUACCGGAUAGGAGCUCCUGCUGCAUGGUGGGGGUUGGAAAGUUUCGGCGGUUGGGGAUGGACUCGCGGCGUAUCAGCUUGUUGGUGGGGUAGUGGCUUACCAAGGCUUUGACGGGUAGCCGGCCUGAGAGGGUGACCGGCCAAAUUGGGACUGAGAUACGGCCCAGACUCCUACGGGAGGCAGCAGUGGGGAAUAUUGCACAAUGGGCGGAAGCCUGAUGCAGCAACGCCGCGUGCGGGAUGACGGCCUUCGGGUUGUAAACCGCUUUCGCCUGUGACGAAGCGUGAGUGACGGUAAUGGGUAAAGAAGCACCGGCUAACUACGUG